AUAUUUUUCUUGACCUUUUGGCUAAAAUCAAGUGUAGUAUCUAUUCUUAUCAGUGUAAUAUUUUUUUUUGAACAAGUACAGAACCAAACGCUCAUACAUACGCGCAUACACUCACCCCUA
rnacentral:snRNA from 1 species